UCAGAUUCAAUAAUUCAGCAAUGCUAUGGUAUAGAACCUUAUAAUAGUAAGGUCACAAUAUGUGAUGUGGGCCAGAUUGCAUGCAUGUGAUCUCCCAUACACACCCUGUCUGUUCUCCUCCGCCUGUCUCACUGUCACACAGGAUGGCAGUGAUGUCUGUCUCUUUCUCUCCCUCUCUCUCUUACUCUUGCAGACACACAAUGAUAUAUACUGCCACUCGGGUGGCCACAAGCUAAUUUAAUUUUGAAAUGAGGGUGUGGCUUCUCUGUUGUGUCUUUUCUGGUUUAAGCUUUGUUUACGUCCAUGUUUCUCAGCACCCGACAAAAAACCACAAUAACACACAACACACUCCCGCACACAUCACACUGAGCUGGCUUCCUCUACCACCACUCCCACCAAGUGUAUCAUUAUCCAACAACCAGGACAAUUUCAGACUGUAAUUUCUCCCAAAGUAGCGUCACUACAAGGGCGAUCUCCGUCUUCCUGAGUCUCCGUCGGCUGUGUAUGGGAGUGUAGCGAGACACACAGGAGAGGAUAACAGAAUAGCAUAGUGGAGGUCCUUUGAGGUCCUGCCAGAGUCUGAAUGUGGAUUCUGAGGGAUUGUUUGGGGUUUUAAGCUGAUGAGUGGUUGAGUUCUCCAGCAUAAUUCCUGCGAGACAGACCUAAACAAAGAACUGAAAUGAUUAUCCAGAUGUUUCCUCUUAUGCGGCGGCGCUGCUAUAAGGGUGUUAAAGGUGAAAGGGAACCCAAGCUCUUGCUCAGGUUUUGCUUUUUUGUGGGGACGAGCAGGAAACCUACCGGCUUUUUUGACUUUAUAUGUCAGAUAUGCAGGAAGCUGGAUGGUUUUGAUUUUCACUUCAAACACGCUGAGGAAUAGAGAGAAGAGUGACAGACAGCGGUUCCCCUUUUUAAUGGCUGGUUCUUGACACUGCGUAAACAAACAUGGAGGGCUGGUGGUGUGGUGUGUAUGUGUGUCUCUUCAGGCACAGCCAGCACAGGCAGUAGCAACAGCGACGGCGGUUUCGUGGUGAGUGAAUUACAGCCUGCUGCAAAGCUGUGGUUUUUCCUGCACGCACAUACACACACACAUACACAUAUACACACACUGAGCCUGACAUGGUCUGUGUGAUGCACCAUUGACUCACUGCUCUCUCAUUAAAGGCUCCCAUUUCAUAGGCCCUGGUGCAUAGCGUCGCUGUAGGCCACGGACAAGAACACACACGUACCAGUGAUGUACACUCUUAC
ensembl:lncRNA